UGGGUGCUGUGAGUCCUACCACUUUGUUUAAAUGAAUGUGUCUUUUGUCCAGCUCGGCCGCCUCGGCUCUCACUGCCACCGGCCUUCACGCACACCCUCGCCACCAGCCUUUGCCCCGUCAGCCUCAGCCCCAGCUCAUUCUCUCAGGCAGUCCCAGCAUUGGCAUGGUACCUCCUCCCGCCGUGGGCCGCACGUCUCUGCUCCCUGUCAACCCUACUGCCAUCAGCAUCACCACAAGCGACUUGCCUGCCCAGGAGGAUGCAACACCAUCUCCCUUCACCGGCCACCUUUCAGUGUUUUCUGCUUUCCAAGUAAAGACACCAGCAGUGCCCUCAGAGCGGACCAGCCAGAGAUUUUCCGAAGCCUCCCAUAGGCUGCUCCGUGGAGGAGGCCUGAGAUGCUGUCAUGACUUUGGAGCCAGGGUGGCCGACCACCUUGGCCUGGCCAUCUUUGGGGUUUGGGAGCCCAGCACUGCUGCCGAGUGUGGUGGAUGAGAACGGCUGCUGCUUGCUGUACGUGGUGGAGGACCAGCUGUGUGGCGUGGAGCGAGCCUUCAGAGCUGAGCAUUUGGCCAACACCAGAGUGGUUCGGGAACAGGAUGCGGACAUUGUCCUCAACGACCAGCGGCGCUUUGAUCCGGCUUUCCAGUUCUUGCACAAGCAAGUUUGUGUCGGCCACGCCCUGGGGAGGAUCCACGGGAUCACCGCCAUCAGCAGCCUGUUCCCAGCAGCCUCUCCGGCUUCCCUAAAGAGGGCAGGUGGGAUUUUCCACAACGCUGCUGUGCGCGACGUGGAUGCCACAUGCAUGUUGCUGGGGGAGGCCACUUCGGACACUGUUUUCUCUGGGACAUGCCUUCUGCCCAGAUAUGGCUGCCUUAAAAGAUGCAGAGACUGUUAUGAUCAGCAUGAAGUUUCCCUGUGGGGCUAUGGUCAGCGCGGACGUCAGCCAGCACCGUACAGACAGCUGUGACCAGG